AAAUUGAAGAGUUUGAUCAUGGCUCAGAUUGAACGCUGGCGGCAGGCCUAACACAUGCAAGUCGAACGGUAACAGGAAGCAGCUUGCACGUAGCUGACGAGUGGCGGACGGGUGAGUAAUGUCUGGGAAACUGCCUGAUGGAGGGGGAUAACUACUGGAAACGGUAGCUAAUACCGCAUAACGUCGCAAGACCAAAGAGGGGGACCUUCGGGCCUCUUGCCAUCCGAUGUGCCCAGAUGGGAUUAGCUGGUAGGUGGGGUAACGGCUCACCUAGGCGACGAUCCCUAGCUGGUCUCAGAGGAUGACCAGCAACACUGGAACUGAGACACGGUCCAGACUCCUACGGGAGGCAGCAGUGGGGAAUAUUGCACAAUGGGCGCAAGCCUGAUGCAGCCAUGCCGCGUAUAUGAAGAAGGCCUUCGGGUUGUAAAGUACUUUCAGCGGGGAGGAAGGUGUUGUGGUUAAUAACCAGCAGCACCGACGUUACCCGCAGAAGAAGCACCGGCUAACUCCGUGCCAGCAGCCGCGGUAAUACGGAGGGUGCAAGCGUUAAUCGGAAUUACUGGGCAUAAAGCGCACGCAGGCGGUUUGUUAAGUCAGAUGUGAAAUCCCCGGGCUCAACCUGGGAACUGCAUCUGAUACUGGCAAGCUUGAGUCUCGUAGAGGGGGGUAGAAUUCCAGGUGUAGCGGUGAAAUGCGUAGAGAUCUGGAGGAAUACCGGUGGCGAAGGCGGCCCCCUGGACGAAGACUGACGCUCAGGUGCGAAAGCGUGGGGAGCAAACUGGAUUAGAAACCCUGGUAGUCCACGCCGUAAACGAUGUCUACUUGGAGGUUGUGCCCUUGAGGCGUGGCUUCCGGAGCUAACGCGUUAAGUAGACCGCCUGGGGAGUACGGCCGCAAGGUUAAAACUCAAAUGAAUUGACGGGGGCCCGCACAAGCGGUGGAGCAUGUGGAUCAAUUCGAUGCAACGCGAAGAACCUUACCUGGUCUUGACAUCCACGGAAGUUUACAGAGAUGAGAAUGUGCCUUCGGGAACCGUGAGACAGGUGCUGCAUGGCUGUCGUCAGCUCGUGUUGUGAAAUGUUGGGUUAAGUCCCGCAACGAGCGCAACCCUUAUCCUUUGUUGCCAGCGGUCCGGCCGGGAACUCAAAGGAGACUGCCAGUGAUAAACUGGAGGAAGGUGGGGAUGACGUCAAGUCAUCAUGGCCCUUACGACCAGGGCUACACACGUGCUACAAUGGCGCAUACAAAGAGAAGCGACCUCGCGAGAGCAAUCGGACCUCAUCCGGUGCGUCGUAGUCCGGAUUGGAGUCUGCAACUCGACUCCAUGAAGUCGGAAUCGCUAGUAAUCGUGGAUCAGAACGCCACGGUGAAUACGUUCCCGGGCCUUGUACACACCGCCCGUCACACCAUGGGAGUGGGUUGCAAAAGAAGUAGGUAGCUUAACCUUCGGGAGGGCGCUUACCACUUUGUGAUUCAUGACUGGGGUGAAGUCGUAACAAGGUAACCGUAGGGGAACCUGCGGUUGGAUCAGGUCCUUA
rnacentral:rRNA from 1 species